rnacentral:rRNA from 1 species
UUCUUUUAGAAGUAAUUAAAAGUAAUUUCUGCUCAAUGAUUGAUUAAAUAGCUGCAUUUUGUACUAAGGUAGCAUAAUAAAUUGUCUAUUAAUUGUAGACUAGAAUGAAGGAAAAAAUAUAUUUAAUUCUGUCUUUUUAUUAUACCUUGAAUUUAAAAUUUUUGUUAAAAUGCAAAAAUAUAUUUUAGGGACAAGAAGACCCUUUAAAGCUUUAUAUGAUUUGUCCUAUUUAAAUGGAAUAAUUAUAUUUUAUUGGGGCAAUAUUAUGUUUAUAAAAAAUAUAUAAGUUUUAUAAUAAUUAAAUAAUUUUACUUUUGAUCCAAUAUUAUUGAUAAACUGAAUAAGUUACUUUAGGGAUAACAGGAUAAUUUUUAUUUUAGAGUUCAUAUUAAAAAUAAAGAUUAUUACCUCGAUGUUGAAUUAAUUUUAUAUAAUGGUGAAGGAGCUAUUGUUAUAUGACUGUUCGUCAUUUAAAAAAUUACA